rnacentral:rRNA from 1 species
CGAGCGUCUCUAGCUAUGUUGAGACGCGGCAUACGGCUCAGUAACACGUGGCUAACCUACCCUCAGGACGGGGACAAACCCGGGAAACUGGGGCUAAUAUCCGAUAGGCGAGGAAUCCUGGAAUGGUUCUUCACCCGAAGGACAUUGGAAACAUGCUUUCUCUGUCGCCUGGGGAUGGGGCCGCGUCCGAUCAGGUUGUUGGUGAGGUAAUGGCUCACCAAGCCUUUAACCGGUACGGGCCGUGAGAGCGGUAGCCCGGAGAUGGGUACUGGGACAAGGACCCAGGCCCUACGGGGCGCAGCAGUCGCGAAAACUCCGCAAUGCACGAAAGUGUGACGGGGCUACCCCGAGUGCCGUCCGCUGAGGAUGGCUUUUCCUUGGUGUAACUAGCCGGGGGAAUAAGGAGAGGGCAAGACUGGUGUCAGCCGCCGCGGUAAUACCAGCUCUCCGAGUGGUAGGGAUGAUUAUUGGGCUUAAAGCGUCCGUAGCCGGCUUAGCAAGUUUCCUGUUAAAUUCAGCGACCUAAUCGUUGAGCCGCGGGAAAUACUACUAGGCUAGGAGGCGGGAGAGGUCGACGGUACUUCUGGGGUAGGGGUGAAAUCCUAUAAUCCCGGGAGGACCACCAGUGGCGAAGGCUGUCGACUAGAACGCGCUCGACGGUGAGGGACGAAAGCUGGGGGAGCGAACCGGAUUAGAUACCCGGGUAGUCCCAGCUGUAAACGAUGCGGGCUAGGUGUUGGGGUGGCUACGUGCCACUUCAGUGCCGCAGGGAAGCCAUUAAGCCCGCCGCCUGGGGAGUACGGCCGCAAGGCUGAAACUUAA